UUGCUGAACAAGACUUAACUAGUAAAGAAAAUUUUUGUGUAUGAGUUUGUGCAUAAUGUAUGUUUAAGAUGGUUAAGACUUAAACAUAUUCUUAGGUUGAAGUGAGAGACUGAAAAGAAAAGGUGUUGGUUUUCUCAAAGAAACAGGAAAAAAAGGGAUAGGAUCUGGAGCCACAAAUGAAAAUUCUGGUCUUAACUGGUAGAAAGACUCUUCCUUACGAAAAGCACCAGAUAAUUAUGUAUUUCAGAACAUGGAGGGGAAAAAGUAAGCUUCCAUAUUCUUUUUACAAAACCAAGAUAACAUAAAAUAUGAGCA
rnacentral:lncRNA from 1 species